CUAGAAUAGCAUAUGGCUAGUAGUUUUGAAUAAUCUUAUUAGCCGGAUACUGUAUAAUGAGGACCUUGUGAUAGAGCUGUUAGAUGUUUUCUACAUGGACUUGUGUUAACUAUUAUUGAUUGAUAAUCUUGCGUUCCUGUUCUCUUCAUGCACCUGUCUCAAUUUGUUUUGCACAAGUUGUCCAACACUAAAUACUUUAUGUUUCUGAUAUGAUUUCCUUUUCCUUGUUGUGUGCUUAUUUAUUGAACCUUUGAUUUCAAUGUUGACAUUUCACAGUAGCAUUAUUUAGUGGUUAUGUGCUUUCCCCCCCUCAGGAAGCGAUUGUUUAGCAUGAUAAAUGAUCUGCCCACCCUCUUUGAAAUUGUAACUGGGAGGAAACCAGCAGAAGACAAACCUAGUGCAGAAAGCGGCAGCAAAUCCAGGAAUAACACAAAGGUGAAAAUGUUUUGUCUAUAAUUAUCAAAUUUAAACUCAUAAAUGCAUUUAUUUUGUUUGACUGGUUUUGGAUCUUUAACCUACCUAUUAUAUUGCAGAGAUCAAUAGAUGGACAGGCGAGAAGUAAUUCCAAGUUAAGUUAUGUGGAGGAUGAAGACGAGCAUGGAGACACCAUUUGUGGGAGCUGUGCAGGGAACUACAAUGCCGAUGAGUUUUGGAUUGGUUGUGACAUCUGUGAACGAUGGUACCAUGGAAAAUGUGUGAAGAUAACACCUGCAAAAGCAGAAAGUAUCAAGCAGUACAAAUGCCCUUCUUGCAGCACAAAGAAGUCCAGGCACUAACAGACAGCAACGCUUUUGAGGGAUCGACCUCAUUAUUGCUCACUGAUGUUGUUCCAAAGCACGAUAGUUUUUUCUUUUAUUGCUUUAAAAAAAAGGUGUUAAGGUUCCAUCUGGGGAUCACAGUGCUUAUCUAAGUGAAUGUUAUAACUUUGGGGUCUUCACACCGAGAAAUUCUUGUCUUAGAUUUUGGUUAACGAUAGUUUAUGGAGUAUGUGAUUAAUAUUAAUGGUGCGAAUAUCGAAUUGCAGGAGGCUAUCCCCGAAGGAUUUCCCAAGGACAGCCACGGUUCGAUACAGUUGUAGAUCCUAGCUAUGCUGUGAGUCACGUCUGCAAGUGAAUUGUGGAGCCCAUUGCGUGUGAUUUGCAUGUAUAACUAGGAUUUGGGACUGCAUGCAAUCGUGGCUAUGUUUGGCACGGUCCAUUAAUGAAUUUCGGCUGAUGGAUCUUGGAGUAUAAAGGUUCAAACCUGGAGAUAUCAUCUCUUUCUCUGUGCUUGGUAGAGCAUUUUUUUCGUGACGAGUCAGCUGCUUCUAACACGAGUCAGUCGAGUUGGAUAUUUGUAUUUUGGGUGCGUAAGUUAAGCCCGUCUGUGCAAAAUGGUCCUCUCUAAUCCUGUAUGCCAUGCGCCGCCCUCGAGUUCUCUUGACAGUAGCUGAUUAAUUAAUGCCUUUUCUUUCUGAUGAACGAGUUAAUUUCAUUAUCGAUGGAAAGAGGAAAGAAAGAAAGAAGAGGACAACGGAGUUAAUCCCUGUUGAAAUGAAGGAUUCAAACAGACCACAGUUAAUAAAAGGCAGUCUGAUACCGUCUCUUUUUAUUAAGGGGAACAGAAAAAUAUGUCAACCUCAAUCAUUAAGCAAAUCUCAAACAGCAAACAUAAUAGGUUGUCUAACAUCAACUUUACAAAAAGGGGAACCAUAAAAUCUAUUUCUAUUUUCGAACACAAACACAGUAGAUUGAGCUAUGCAGUUCGGAGAAGAUCAAUGAUUAAUAUACAGUCUAGCAUUACUUCCAUCCAUGAAAAAAUGAUGCAUGCACACCAAGAGAUUCAUCAGGAUUCCAGUUUCCAAAAUCUAAGUUUUCUUCUGUAAGCUCUGUUUAUACCAGGCAAAUUCUUGAUCCCAACUUACUUGUUGAUGUUACAUUUCAAGUUCGUAUUUCUUUGAAAAAAUGGCUAAUCAAAGAACAAGUGAUCUCUGCUUUUGUUUGCUUGCUCGCAGAGAAGGCCUCCUAUGUUGCAAGUCAAGCAGAUUCAUGGAGCAUCUAUGAUGCGGCGCCUUCCUCCAUAACUUGGACUUCCGUCAAACAAAAAUCUGCUGUUUCAGCUAGGCAUGUUGCUAUUUAUUAAUUAUUAAAGCAGUGUUUUUCAACAAAUAAACCAGGUAGAAGUAAUAUGCUGAAUUAAAAAAAAUGAAGAUGAUGGCCUUAUAAGUUAUAAAUAUACAGCAGAUGAUUGAUCUCGUCAAAUGAUGAUCCGUUAUAAAGUCCAAUUCUCAAAGACUCGGUUGGAACUGCAUCUCUUUUCCUCUUCAGUUUUGUUUGAAGGUGUGUUUUGGUGGGAUGGAACUGGAACAGAUAAAUGAGCCAGCAAUUUGAGGUUUUUGAAAUUUAUUCUUUAACGGAAACCCCUCAUGUCACGAAGCUUUUCUCCUCAUUCCUCCAAUAUUAUGUUUCUACGCUGGGGGAGGAAGUGGAGAGAAAAGGGGAGCCUUGUUUUAGCCCCUAACGUUUUACCUGACUGUCAAUCUCAUCCGAAAGUAACUGCUUUUAUCAACAUUUCUCAAUUGGGUUCUUUCUUUCUACACGGUUUCGUAACGAAAAACGUCAAAUUAUCUUGAAAAGGGGUAUUUAAUGAAAAACAUUAAUGGACAUGGAAAUGUUUGAUGUUUUAGGGACACAACAGAGAAAACAUUUAGCUUGGAGAUCCAAUUUAGAGCUGGUGAACGGGCUGGGGACUCAUCGAGGAUUCUCUAAAGAUAAGGAAAGCUGGAAAAAUAUUUUUAAAACUUUGUAAAAUGUCCUAGAGCAAACAAGAAAAUAAAAGUUGAAGGAGAUUGAAGGGGUGUUUUUUUUUUUAGCAUGUUCUUUAAAAAAUAUUGGUGAUUACUGAAAUAUUUUUUUAGAUAUCAUAUAGGAUCUAUUUGGGAUUGUCAUAAUGGUUGCGGUUUAAAGUGUUUUUCGCUUAGAAAUAUAUUAAAAUAAUUUUUUUAUAUUUUUUAAAAAUUAUUUUUAAUACUAACACACCAAAACAAUCUAAAAAUAUAUAUAAAAAAUUUAAUUAAAAAAAAUAAUUUUUUUUAUAAACAGUUUAAACCAUGUUUCCAAUCACUCUCAUGAGACUGUACGAUAGUGUAUCAGGUGACGUUUUAUCUUAGGAAAGGGAUCACAUACACGGAAAAAUAAAUAAUUGGUACCGUGCUUGUUGGCUAUGAUCAAGGCCAAUUCUAAUAGUUUCUUGACCGUCUACUCUUCUCUGAUCGUGCCCUUCUAACCACCGCCUACAGAAAAUAAACGUGCCAUGUCUUUUUAGCACGUGGAAUCUGAGUCUACCUCUCCCUUGUGCAUGAUCACGCAAACACAGUAACAUUUGCCCUACUUUGAUAGUAAUAAUCACACACAGACACAGUAGUAAACUAUUGACGAGAUUUUUGUUACUUUGCCCCCAUUUGAGCAUCGGAAUUUCACAUCUUUCUUAUCGAAAUUUAAGGUUCACUGAAUCCAACCAGUGGAACACUGUGUGACACUGAGUACUCCGGUGCCAUACAUGCAAUUAAUUACAAGUUGCAAUGUACUUAAUAAAUAUCCUGAUAAAUCCAUGCCGAUGGUUUCCUUGAGCUGUUUGUUUUUCAUGUCUUGUCUGUCCUGUGUUCAGGUUAGGAAAAACAAGAUUUUCUUUUUCUGUGAACGUAUUUUUCUUGGUGCAGGUGAGGAUAAUCUUUUGAGUAUUUGAUUUUAGAGAGAGAGAAAAAAAGAAUAUUUAUUAUUUUUGUAGAUGUACGUGUUUUUCUAGCUAGGUGUCGGUGAGGAUAUAAUCUUUUGAAUGUAUAUUUGACUUAGAAAAAUAUAUAUUUACUAUUUUUGUGAUUUUUGCUGAAUUAAACCCACAACCAACCACCAUGUUAUGAUUUAACUGGGAUUUUUUUUCGGAAUUCUAAUCACUGGAGUAUCAGCUUAGUAGGUGCCAAAGUUUGUUGAAAGGCUCCUAUCCGUAUCCAACGCAGCAAAGAGGCAAGCAAAUCAAAUUAAUUGAAUGUUGAUUGAUAUAAUUUAUGCAUUAUUGACCGUCGUGUGUUUUUUUCUUUUCUUUUUCUCGUUAAAAUUAUUAAAGUUGUAUCUGAAAGAGAAGCGCACAUGGACUGUCAACUGUCAACAUUCGUAAUAUCAGCAGCACUUGGGAUCUUGAGAAAAUUGCAAAAAACAAGAGGAACAUAAGAACUCCUAGUCUCCAAGGGAAAUUAAGCAAAUAUCUUGGAUCCGCACAAUUAAUUAAUAUUAUUAUUCACAUCCAACCCGCUUUCAAUCAGGUCAGAUCAAACGAAAGCUUCUUUUUAGAUGUGAUUACUGUGAAGGAUCUCAUGUAUUUGUCAAUAAUUUUAUUUUCCCGGGAAUUAAUAUUAGAUGUGAUUUAAAAAUAUAAAAUUAUAUCAUUAAAGACCGAUACUAAUUAAAGCAAGAGUUUAUAAGUGAUUAAUGCGAUUAAUGUAUACUAUAUAGUGUUGAACUAUGUGGUUAUUAAUUAUUAAGUGACUUUGCAAGUCAUGUAGUAAGAAAAGAAUACAUCACCACCUAAUUUGCAUCACACAUCGCUUGGUACGUACUUGAUAUAUAAGAACUUAGAGACCUUAAAUACUAGUUUUAUAUAUUUUUAAUUGAUUACUAUUAUUAUUAUUAUUAUUAUUACUAUCAUGCAUUCAUAAUUAUAAAUUAAAAUUCAAUUAUAAACGUAGAUUUAUUUUUACAGGGUUUGCUAUGUAAUAUAAUGAUAAUUAGAAAAAUUAAUUAAUUUAUUAAAUAAGAUUUAGUUUAUAAGCGAAGGUUGGAUAGUUAAAUUUAUUUUAUAAGGCUUAUAAUAACCAUGUAUAGUGAUAAAAAAAAUAUUAAAAAUACUAAGUUGAAUGAUGGGUCAUAUAAACCUUUGACGUGCACUUAUAUAUCCAAUCCAUUUAAUUUAACCCUGAUCAAAUCCAAUAAAAACUCAAUUCAAUUGAGUUGGGUAAUAUCCAUUACCCAAUAUUGGAUAAAAUUAUCAUUCAUAAGUUCUUCAAUGCCGCCUGUUGUGCUUUUUUUUUUUUUUUUCUUUCGAGUUGUAUAAUUUUUUUUUAAAAAAAUUUGAACUAGACUAUGAUCCUACUCCAAGACCCUCUUAGGAUCAAAAUGCUUUCUUGUUACUACAAAUCUUAUAUUCAAUUAUCACAAAUCUUAAUUUUUUUAUUUUAUUUUGUUUAGGAAAUAGAAAACUAAGAAAACACAUUUACUUAUGGAAAAUGAUUUUUUUUUCUUGAAAACAAAUGUUUUCUAAUUUUUCACUUUUCUAAAAAACUCAAAAAACAUUAUCACAUUUAACAGUUUUUCCGAUGAAAAAUUCUGUCGAUGUUUACUCUAAUAUGUCGUAGGUGAUUAUCUUACCUAUAGAUUCACGGAUGGCCGUCUGAAAAAAUCUCAUCAGUAAUUUUUGGGCUGUCGAUAAAUCCGUCGUUAAUAAAAAAAAAUUACUAAUGGUUUUACAGACAAAUAAUGCAUGCAAAAAAAAAUUUAUCCACUGAAAUAAACUGAUGGAAUAAUUCCGUCGGUGAUUCGCAAUGGUAUUUGUAGUAAUUCUUUUCUAACUCUCUAGAAUAUAUCAACAAAAUAUUUUGUCAGUGACCCCGUCCAUAAUAAUUUAAAAAUAUUUUUUAUUUAAAAAUUUAUUGAACAAAAAUAGAAAUUAAAAAAAAAUUAAUUUGUUGAUUCUUCCCAACUUUAAGAGUAGAUUGAUUUGACUAAGCAACCUACUACUAUUCUAACACCUACCGAAUCUCACCCGAGUCACUUCACUCCGCCUUCAGUCUUAGAAUGUGCCAAAUAAAAUUCAAGUAUGUAAAAAUCAAUUAUCUUAAUAUAAAAGUUAAAUAUUUAUUACAAAUUUAUACGUUCAAAUAUAAUGAAACUAGAACAAAAGAAACGCUAAAGGAGGAGGAAACUAGUCUUUUCCGGGGCCGUAGGGCCAAUAAAAGGAUGCAUAUGUAUCACCCAUCUAUAUAUGAUUUAAUAGACAUGAUCAUUAGGUGGAGUUCUUCAUAAUCCGCAGAGCGUCGUUUAUAUUUUUCAUGGAGAUGAGUCGUACGUUCUUCCACUCCUUGAUCUAACAAGGUCGCGAACUUCAGAGACUGAGUGUUCGAGACCGAUUACGAGCUCUCAAGGGUUGAAACACCACGAGCUAUCCGUAAAUUCUCGACCUUAGUGCUGGAGAGUCCGUACACCUGAAUUCUAUUAGCUCCACCAGAUGAUCCUACCUCCAACCAUAAAUCCGAAUCGAAAUCUGGGUAGGUCGAAUAAUUGUCCCUGUAUCUCUUCUUCAAUCGGUUGUUAUAUGUGUCCUGAAAAUAAAAAAAUCAAAUUAUCAAAUUCAAGAAAAUAAUAACUUAAAAAAAAUAGUUGAAAACCAAUAUACCAUAAAGUGUUGAGCUUGGUUGUCGACGAACUACUGCACUCUUUUUUGGCGGUCUUCACUCCGCAUGUGCUUUCCAUAAAAAGUUUCAUUGGGCUUGACUUACGUUCAAGUGUCGUAGCUUGUAAGAUAACAAUGUAGUCAGUUAAAUAUAUUUAUAAAUAACAAUAAAUUAAUUAAAAAUAGAUGUGAUUAAAAUAAAUUUUACCAUCUGCUUCGCAUGCGAAAUAAACGGAACGGAGCUGCCGGUGUGCGUUGUAAUCUAAGAAUGAAUCUACCGACUCCGGUUCCCCACACUGAAUUAUAAUCGUCGUGUGAAACGCUCAGACAUCAUGUGCUGAAUAUAUUUCAUCCAAAUAUUUUUUUGGGAUGUACAAUAAUAUGAAAUCCUUCCAAACCCAGCAAGACGCAUCAAUAAAUAUAUGUAAAAAUGAAUUUCCUAGUAAGCAGUACGAGCAAGACAAAAUUGUAUGAACCCAGCAAAAGAAUGCAAUUUGUACAGUAAACGAAACAUUAGUUAUUGAGACAAUAAAGUACAAUUUAUGGGUACAGGUUGAAACGUGGCACUAUUCUGAUUGCGUAUCAUUGCUCCAAUGAUUAAUUGUUUGCUGUGCUUGACGGACUCUUCGGCGCCAAAGAAUGAAUCAAAAGGGGACAAACGUGAAUGCAAAGUGUCUUUUCAGUGGAAAAGGAAGCCAGGAUAGUGUCCACAUUUCCUUCCACCAAACAAUCAAGUGCUUGAUACUCGAAAGGAGCAUUGCAGUAGCUGUGGGUGUGGGGUGAUUAGUUCGAUGUAGAACCCCGUUGAUAUUACUAGAGUUGAAAGGCUCGGAAGAACAGUUUGCAAUGACGUUUGUUUUAGCUGCUAUAAUGUGAACUAAAUAGUUUACUAGUGAUGCUUAUUCUAAUUAAUCCAUAAUUUUGAGAGAGGGGAUUGGAUCCAGCACCUGGUAGAUGAAAUUUGUCGUUUCUUCUGCUUACAACAUUCAAUAUGAUUUUAUUUUUCUUCUUUUCUUUUGAAGGUGAGGAAAGUCAUUUGAAAUAGUCAAUCAAUAAUAUUAUUUGAUUUCAAAUGUUGUCUACGACCUUCUUAUCUCUUUUAAUCGCAAAAAAUCAGUAUGGAAGUCCACAUCUACAUGAGGAACAGACUUCCAAAUACCUAAUCCUGAUUAUUUUUUGCCUAAUUCCAACGGAUACAGACAUGUUGGAAUCCUAGUGGAUAUAGCUCGUAGAAGUCAUAUUUUAGAAGAUAAUGAUAUAUAGGAGAACUUUGUCUCUUGCUUGACUGCCUCAUAUUAUUGUCACAGAUUGACAAUCAAGUUGCAAAACAUUUCUACACAGCAAGAUUCAAUAAUGCCUGCAACUGGGAAUCAAUUAUUUUCUAAUUUGAUGUUUUUUAUAUAAGAUUUCAAGAUGACAUCGAAAAACUAACAACACCCGAUCGACAUUAACCUUUUUUAAUUUUACUCUUUAGCCCCGUUUUCUCAAAACUCCAAGGAAACUCUCCCUCCCUCCCUAGAAUGGUUCGUUUGGGAAAAGAAAAGGUUUAACAGCGAUUUUCGUCCUUCAACAAAGGCGAUUUAGGAACAUUGAACGUGGUGGUUUAAACCAUCACAAUUGCAGCCUUAUGGUAUUGUACGUGGUAGUGAUUCUUCCAUCUAACACUGUCAUGUUUUGUUGUUAGAAUCUGGACAAAAAAAGGGUUUACAAUUUCAAUUAUUUGAGUCUAGGUUUUAUCCAGAAGUCCAAGUCUUACCAAGAUGUGAGACAUGUGCUUUAACACCCCCUCUGAUCACUUGCAUCCCAUUUUUUAGGAUCUGACGAGUAAUAGCUCAGAAUAUUUAUUGGGUAUUUGGAUAUUGAACUAGAUGAUUGAGUCUAGGUUUCAUUCAAAGGAUCCAAACCUUGUUGUGGGUGGUCUGAUAUUUUCGCUGUAUGUCUUAUCACGUCAGGGUUAUAUCACAGCACAAAUUCUUGCUUUUGCUGUUUCGAGAUACAGUUUGCACCAAAGUGGGACACCAAACUAAAGAAACAUCAACAUCGAUCAAAGAUCAGACCCAACUUGUAAAUCCUUAAUUUAAGACUUGGAUUUUGCGAUUCGUAGAUAGCACCACACAGUGAUCAGAAGCCAAAGGCCACCCAAAAUUGCCUUCAUGAUGAUAGCAAUAUAAUACUGACACUAUUUUCAACAGCCAUUUUCAAAGGUUCUUUUUAAAAAACCUGUCGAUAUGUUAACUUCAUUAUAUAAAUAAAGAUUUUGUUAAAUCAUGCAAUCUGCCAGCAGUAAGAAAAAAAUCUUAGUGAAGUCCUUUCCAUUACAAGGCAAUGAUUUUUUUUUUUUUUUUUUUAUUUACGUGGGUGUCCGGGCCAGCUUGCGCGCACCACGACUAAUCCCACGGUCCACUGAACACCCUGCAAACCCAGUGAGCAUGUAAGGCACCGCGGGGGUGACAGGCAUGCACAUGAGAACUCGAACCCAAGAGCAGCAGGAGGAGACAAGCCCCUCCUACCGCCAGGCCAAGACCCUCAGUGCUACAAGGCAAUGAUUUUGAUCUUAAAGCUACAUGACAAUAAAACGUGAUCUUUUUGGUUAUUUUAUAAUAAUUCAACAAGAAACUUAACCCACAUAUAUAGUUGACAAAAUUGACUUUUAAAACAUGAUCGAUGCAUAAAAAAUUAAUUUUCAAUAGUAAUUAUGUAUGUAUAUGUAUUAAUUUGCUAAUAUAUUAUGUUUUUGUCCAUUUAGACAGAGAUAAAGCUAAAAAGAGACGAAAAAAGAUUAAAAAACCUCACAUAUAUGCAAAAGACACGGCUUUUGCGAGUUUGAAAGUUUAAAUGAUUUAAAAUUGGAUAAUGCGAAUAUAAGUUGUCAUAAACAAUGGCAUUCUUCGAUCUUUGACUUCAUUCAAUCAGAAAUAAAUCAGUGAUGUAUGAGUGCUUCAGUCUACGGGAUAUAAAUAAAAUAAAUGGCUCCACCCACCAUUGUGUAGAGUGACACAUGUUUAUUCUCGCUUCAUCUUUUUGAAAAGUCUUGAAGCAGAAGGUUAAAAAAUUUAGUUGUCAAUUACAAGGACAAAUAAUCAUGGGUAAUUAUAACUUGGUAGUUUAGCAAAAAUAAUUAAUUAAUCCUCGUGGUCUUAAUAAUUGUUACUUAAUCCUUAUGUUUUAGCAUUUAUUUAUAAAUCAACCCUUCUGUCUAUUUCAUGUUUCUUUAAUCUUCAAUUUAUUUGAUUUUUUUAGUUUUUAAAAAUACAAAUGAUUAAACUAAGUAUGGUCAACACUGAUCAAAACAACUAUUUAAUUAUUUUUUAGUACAAAAUUUAAUUAAUUUAUUUUGAUAAAAUAUAAAGACUAGAUUAUAAUUGACUCAAUAAUUAUUUAUGCAAUAUUUUUCUAUUUUAGUGUUGCCUCGUGCGUGCCUCGUUAAUCAAUUAAAUGUUAAACACACAUGUUUUUUAAACAGCGAUUUGUUGCCUUAAUCAACGGUACCUAGACGGGACAGCAUCUCGUCACAAGAUGUAAUUGGAAUCUUUUUGGGCUCAAAUUUUUCUCAAACGAGAAAUGGAAGUAUAGAAUAUUUUUUUCUCAUUUUUUAUUUAUCUUGCCGCUUAGUUAUAUCAUAAAUUCACGAUUUUUUUUUCAAGGCAUUCUCCUCUAUGAUUACAAGAUGUGUAUAGUUACUCAAAUUCUAACCAAUGAAGGGGGUGUUUGCUUGUGAUUUACAAUAAUGUAAUAAACUAUCUAGAACAAAAAUUUCCUAAGUAUUAUCGUCACCAUCAUCUCGGAGAUUUUAGAGACUCCACUUGGGAUUUGCCACUGGGACCUCUCAUUCUUAUGAAGAGUCUGUAUUCAUCAAAUGUCAUCGCUGGAUAGAGUGGAGGUCUGUCAGGCGCCAGAAGCUCCUUCAAUGGCUCUAUGGGUAUAUCACUCUUUGGAUUGUAGAAGAAAGCAAGAGAGACACGCUCUUUCGAUGAAUUUACUAUCACUCUAUGCUCCACACUCUUGUAAGUUGCAUUGCUUAGCACCUAAUUAAACGAAAUAUCAGAAAACAAAGAACAAAUCGUUUACUACGUGCAUCACUUCAGACUGAGAGUGAGUUUGCGACAGUCAUUUAAUUAUAUUAUAUAUUAUUCAAAUCACUUGGCAUCGUUCAAAAAACUAAAUAAAAAACAGGAAAGUUAAGGAAUAAAUUGCUCAAAUGAAAGGAACAAGAUGCUAGACUGCUUGUGAACUUUGCAAUCCUAAUGAACUCUACGGGAACCAAACAAAUCGUCUAAAAGUAUGAACCCAACUAGGGAUCGUUUGAUUUAGAUUCCAUAAUUUAAUAAUUCAAUUAAGGUUCCUCAUGUAAUAAUUUAUUUAUUUUUUAUCAACGCUUUCCAUUAACUUCAUCAGCCACUUCAUCGUAAGUUAAAUAACGACAAUUGCCAAAAAUUAAUAUUCGAAGACAUUUACAAUGGAGAAUACAUUAGGUGGCUUCCAUAUUGUUUUAGGCAGAAAAAUGGUACAUAUAAUUAAUUUGAUGGAAUGGUAGUUAACAAGGGAUAAGCCAUGAUGGUAGUUAUUAUCCUAGGAUAAGUUAAAUUGUAAUUAUUAUAUGCAUCCUUGUAAGAACUUACUACACCUAUAUAUUUGCUUUCUUUUUUGUUACAAUUGUUUAAAUAUAUGUUUUCUGUAUCCUAUUCCACAUGUUUCAAACGUGGCACUGGAUAGGUCAUCUGUGUUUGUGAAAAUCAGAAGAAAAGCGGGAGGUCUAUGUAUGAUCUUCUUAAUUAAUUCUGAAAGCGGGAAGAACAAUACUGGUACUUAUGUAGGUCUAAACGAGAAGCUGUAUAUGCUUUUCCCCCUCUCUAGGAAUCUGAGAAACUUUAUUGAUUAAUCCACAAUUUCAAACUAAGAGAAGAAGCUAUGUAUUCAUGCCAAUUAAGUUAUAAAAUUGGCUAGGACUUGAUCUAUCUAAGGUACAUGUUAUAUGUUGGAUCUGUUCACUCAAAUCACUUCAAGCUUUAUUCAUCACUGAUGAGACCACUCUCCCUCAUUCGUCCCUGUUCUAAAACGGGACCACAUGGCAAGUUACUAAAAAAACUUUGGACCACCCGUUGCAUAAAUACUCACCACUUAUCCAUCAAAAACAUAUGUGCCCUAUACAUGUAAUAAAUUUCAAUUCUCAACCAAGCGCGCAUAUAUAUAUAUAUAUAUAGAGAUAGAUAUUUCGUAUGUAGAUAAUCUAGCGAGAGAAAUAGAGAGUUAGGUUACCUGAAUUUGAUCACCAAUAUUAACAAUAAAAGCAUGUGGAGCUGGUUUUACAGUAAUCCAAUUCUCAUCCUUACGAACCUGAAGACCAGGGACAUGAUUGUCUGGCAAGAGAAGGGUUAUGCCACCGGGAUCCGAAUGCGAUGAUAAACCAAGGGCCAGGUCAGGCUGUGGACACUUGGGGUAAAAAUUAACUCUGAGGCAUGCCCCAAUAUUUUCGCCGCCAAAUGCAUUUUGAAGUCGUUCCUCUCCUAAUCCAAGGUUUAUUGAUAAAAUCUUCAUUAACCUCCCACAUAGCUUCACCAAUUGCUUGCCAUAUUCAUCAAGCACUUCCCUACAAAUUAGUAAAGGGUUACUUAAAACUAAUUAAAUUGAAAUUGCGGCUUUAAAGAUAACUAAUAAACCAAAUGGUAGUUAGGUAAAAUCCAAAUAUAUGGUUGAUAUCCAACAUUUAGAUGUAAUGAUAAUUAUAAGUGGCCGGCAAAAGUGCGGUCAAUUACUAGGUACGAUGUAUCAUAUAUAGGAAAUCAAUAUGACACGUCGAAUUUGCAACUUGAGACGCCUUCGUGUAAUUUUAGUGUGCUAAAAAGUAUGAAGAACCAAAAAGAUAUGCGCAUAUAUAUGUUAUGAAAAUGGAAUGAAAUAUAUAUAUAACCUGCAAUCAGCUGGAAUGGUAGGCCAUUUGCUACAGUCCUUCAAUGUUGAAGGAAGAUAGUGGAGGAAGUAGUAAUCACUCCAAUCAAGUAUGGCACCCUUUUCAACCCCUAACCGGCUACCAUAACCUUCAUAAGUCUUGGGUGUGUUUGCAUAAGCUUGCUUAACCUCCAUGGGCGAAUGAAAGAACUGCCUCCAUGCUUCUCGGGCACGGUCCAUCAAUUGAGGGCUAACACCAUGGUUAAUCACUUGAAAAAAUCCCCACUCCCGGCAUGCUAUAGAAAUUUGGUCAAGUAUAGCGGCACGGAGGGCAUGAUCAUCACCGUACAGUCCGACAAGAUCAAUAACAGGGAUGUUCACAUCCAUUGAAGCAGUGGAAUUUAUGGAUGGCCUCUCUAGCGGGGGCUUGACAUAUCGCUCAGGAAUCAGGGGUGUGCCGCUGUCGGACAAGGAUUGUACACGAACUAUUGGUUCGGGCCAAUCUAAGAGCUUAUUCAUAACGUUUGUAGCUAGCUAGGUUUUUGUCUCCGAGGUUGAUUCUAUAUAAAUGAUAAGAGGUACCGUGAAACAGUAGACAUGGUCUUUUAUUAGCAAUCAGUUUUGAGAGCGAAAGAGUAAGACGAUGAAAGAAAGCGGUCUUAGUUCCCAAAAACUAAAGAGGGAGCUGGGAGGGAGAGGGGCAUGAGAGAAGAAUGUAAAGAGCGGUGAUUAUGGAGGGGUGGGGGGGGAUAGUGGCAAGCGUUCGGGAAGUGAAAUUGACGUGGAAGAGAACGUGCAAAUUAUUAUGUUUUAAAAUAUAAGAAUGGAGGCAUGAUAAUAUAUAUCCAGAUAUUAUAUGCAUAUUGUGUGAAUUUGGGUUUGAGAUGGAGAGCAAGACAAACAACAGUCUUCUUCACUCAAUUUUUCUAUUUGGGUGAUUGUGGACGAGCCAAAAUAGAGAUGGGCAAGUAGGAGUUCAUAUAUCAUCCCAUCUUCUACUAUAGUACUCCAAUUACCAAUCUAUUUUAUAAACCGAAAAGACCCAUUCCAAUAUUUCAGCGACUCUAAAGAAACCAGAAAAGAAAAAUAAAUUCAGCGAUUUAUUUUUUAUUUGAUUUUCAAUAUUGAAUAAAACCAUUCAUAACUCUUGUCGUGAGUACACAUGUGAAGGGGACUAUAAAUUUCGGCGCCGUGCUCACUUUUGUUUGCUCUCCCUUUCAUUAGAUGUAAUCCACAUACUCCAAUAUAGAACCACUUCAAGAGAAAGCAGUGUUCUCGAAUGGGUGGCAGCAAUAAUUAAUAAUGAUAAGUGUUGAAAGCUCACACACUCUCUCUCUCUCUCUCUAUUUGGCAUUCAAGUUUUACCAGAAGAAGAAGAAGAAGAUCUUGUCAGUUACUCGGUCAGCUUAAUAUUUGAUAAAUAUGUAAAUGCGAUUGUUCUAGCUAGAAACACGAGAACAGUGAUAUGAAUUAAAUGGUGUGAACAUGUGAACAAAAUAUGCGAGCUAAAUUUAUAAUACAUGAUUACCAAAACAUGUUAUAUAUGACGUUAUUUAUUUAUUUAUAAUAUAUGUGAACAAAAUAUGUGUCGAUAUAAUUUAAAUGUUUUGUUAAAAUAUAUUUAGUUUAAAUGUAAUCAAUAAAAAAAAUUCUUAUAGAGCAGAGGAGGCGCUGAAUCAGAUAUACUUGCACGUCAAACAAAAACUAUUCCAGGGACGAAAGAUAACUAGACAAUUAAUCGUGUGGAUAACCAUGGCUUUUCAACCGGUCAAUUAGAUGACACUCCAUUCCCAAGUUGACGCAAACUUCUAUCACCCUCCUGUUUAUGGAUUUACAUAUGAUUAUGCUUUCACUGAGAAUGAAUUAAUGGCCUUUUUUUUUCUAAUCACAGCAUGACAUGGCUUUCAAUGGUACUACGUCGUGUAUAAAUCAAUACCAAUUCCGUUACAAUUACCGAGUGGUCGUCUAGUAUUAUUUUUGUUUUUUGUUUCUAUCAGAAUUAAUGUAAUUAUACUCUCUUUAUUCAAGAUUAUAUAUCUAUAUAGUGUAAUAAGCUGUGCGACAAUUACCUUUUUUUCAAUUUGCACUAUACAUCACGAUUGGCUUAAAAAUUUAAUGAAAAGAAUAUAUUUUUGGUAUCUUAUUCUUAAAUGAGAAAUUGUUUUGUUCAAGAAGUCACUUAAUAUUAUAAUCACUAAAAACCAUAACUGGUUAAUAGAGAUUUUAUGAUACAAAACUGGUUACACAAAAAGAAAGAUAUUAUCAUCCCUUAAGCGUCCUACCUGAGACAGGUUGUAUUGCUGCUUUUGUUUUAAAUUGCUAAAAGUUUGUUGGUUUAUACUAUGAUGGUUUGUUUGUAAUACUCCUAACUCUAACGUCAAUAAAUAUUCAAUUGUAAAUAUUUCUAAUUCUGGUGUUGAUAAAUAUUAUAUAAUAAAAAAAAUAUAAUAUUCUUCACUCUGAAUAAACUAGCAAAAUGAAAUUCAUGCAUAUAUAUAUAUAAUGGAAGAGGAUGUUUCUUUUUUCAAGGAAGCUUCUUUCUUGUUGCCCUUUCAAUUUGAAGUUUAAAGAAGAGAGAAGAAACGAUGACUCCCAAAUGGAGACCCACAGCUACAGUAGCGUGAAUUAUAAUGCAAAGGAUAAAUUAAACUGUAAAGCUGGGGAAGAGAAGAAGAGAGACUUACCUGGGCUGCUACUCCUGUAGGCUGUAGAUGAAGACAAAGUUGAGGGCGAUUGGUGCUCUGGUUGGGCGACGUUUCUUUCUCUCCUUCUGCUACUGUUUUCGUUUCUGAUUCUUCUUUUCGUUCAAUUCUUGUCUGCACUCUUCUUCCUCUUCAUCUAUGUUAUCCCCUGGUCUUCUCUGUGUUUCUCUUCAGGAGCCGCUGCUUGAAGACGAAGAUGUUGAUGAGGGGGGGUUGGUUAACCAAUGUUCCCCUCUGCUUCUGUUUCUUCUUAUGUUCACUUGUUCUGGUCACCGGUUCUCUCUGUCUCUAUGUUCUUCUUCUUUUUCUCCUCUCUCUUCUCGACUCUCUCUACACUCUCUUUGUCUAUUCUUUUUUUCUUUGCGUUUUCUUUCAGUCUGUCCUCCUGCUCGCUCUCCUCUGUCCGUUUUUUUUUCGUUUGUGGCCUUCUCUGACUUUUUAUAAAGCCAAAGGAUGGCCCCUGUUCAUGUGUUCGUGCCCCACGAUCGUGAGGCACGAACGCCUCUGUUUCUUUGAGAAAAAACAGGGGGCAGCUGAGGAGACGUUCAUGGGAGACGUGGCCCAAAACGGUUUUGGUUUCCUGUUGAAUCGGUCCCUGGUCUGGAGAUGAAAAAGGCGAUGAACAGUGGUUCAAACGGCGCCGUUUGUAUUCCUGGAAAUGACUAUUUUCAACCUGGCCCCUGCACUUAUGCCAUUUAACAAUUGGGUCCCUAAUUAAUGAAAAUCAAUUUUUAAUUUUACCCCUGGAACAAUUGCAAUUCGACCGCUGGAUUAUAGUGUCAUUUACAAAGUUAUCCUUGGUUUCUAGAUUAUUUAAUUUAAUCCUUAAUUGACUCUUCAACUUUUAAUUCUUUCACAAUUACCCCUAGAAACAUCAAUUAAACUCCCUAAAGUAACCCUGUCAUUUCACUUCGGUCUUUGAACUUUAAUUUCUUGUAAUUUUGCUUUGAAUUAGCGCCAAACUUUAGUAUUUCUUUAAUUAAGAACCUGAUUUCAUUAAUUAGUUAAAUCAGAGUUUAAUUAAGUCUCUAAAUUUAUCAAUUAUUCAAUUAAGCUUCUGAAACUAAUUCAAAGUUUAAUUAAGUCCUUAAAUUUAUCAAUUCUUAAAAUUUAUGACUAAAUUGACUUCCAGAUUACUUUCAAUUUGUAUUGUUUUAACCCCUUUCUCAAAUAUAAUUUUAUUUUAUUUUGAAAAAUUCAAAAAUUAGGUUAUGACAUGCAAUAUAUGCUUGACUUGUGCAACUUCUAAGAUUAAUUAUAGAUGAAAUUAACCGAAUACCAUUAAAUAAUUAAUACCAUCAUAAGAGAUUCUAGAGUCUUGACUAGCUUAAAAGACCCUUUAUGAACUUUGUGAAUAAAUGGUGUGUGUAUGAAAGGGACCAAGAUUAACUUAGUCGGCUAAAAAUGUAUUGAUAGUCAUUUUUUGAACUUGUAAGCUAUCUAAGUAGGUGGGGAGGUAGCUUCUACCUUCAUUUUAUCAAUUACCAUAAUAAAAGACCGGAGAUUGUCUGCGAUACCUUGAACUUACCUCUGUAGCUUAUUAAUCCACUAUUCAAACAUAAUAAAAAUAAAGAAAAAGGUCUAGAAGAAGCCUGGAGAACGAACACAGUACAAAAGGGUCAAAGCAUUUGCUAACCUCUAUUUUCAUUUCCCUCUUUUGGGACUUGGCUUGUGAGUGAGUGAGUGAGUGAGAGGGAGAAGGAGAUUAACAUGCGGACUUUCCUUGUAAAUGAAAUCAAUACAGAUAUGAUGGUAUAAAACCUGUGCAACAUUAAUAAGUUAGAAUAUAUUCAUGAAUAUAUACGAGGAAAAUGAAAAAAAUAAAAAAAAAUAUGAUGGAAAAUCAUACUUUCUUGUGUACGUCAUAUAUACAUUGUAUUAUAAAUUAUUUUUUAAGUAACUAAAGUAUAAUUUCUAAAAUAUUAUAGAUGCAUUAUGGUUUGUAACAAUGUUUUUCUAUCUGAGACCACAGAGGAAACAAACCUCUUGGUCCCAAGCUUUUAUCACUGGACCACCACCAUCAAUCAAAUUCUGAUUUAACGAUGACUAUAGAUGUCCUCAUGAAGGACGAAAUUGGAUAUUAUCGGAAUUAAUGUCGAGGUCGCUUAAUAUUAAAGUCCGUCAACAAAACAACUCGUGCUAUUAGAUGGGUUAUUUAUGUCGUUUUCUAGUGGGCUAUUUAACAUUUUCAGUAUAGCUUUCAUGUAUAAAAGAUUAAAUUAAUCUGUUCUUUCAAUGCAAUCAAAUUAAGAGAAACUACAUUGGAUUAUUAAUGAGAAUUUUAUAAUUCCUUGUUACAUCAUGUUCAAUCGCGUGGCUAAAAAACAGUGCAUAUACCCAUGACUUCAACCAUCAAGCCAGAUACUCCUUGUAUAAAAAAUAAGUUAUAAUUCUGAGGGAUGUAAUUUAACUGAUCAGGUUCUAGAUUUAUUUUUUAAAAAUUAUCAGUUCGAGAUUUACAAAUAUCAAUGUCAUUGGAGACUUAUAUGAUCGUUAACUCCAGGGCCCGUGAGAUUAGUCGAUGUGCGUACAAGUUGGCUCGAACACCCACGUUAGUUAAAAAAAAAAAAACAAUCAUACAUUAAUUAUUUUAUCAUAAUCGAGUUAUUCUAACUCCCGACACGCACUAAAUUUUACAUAUAUAACAUAAAUAACAUAGUCAACCUUUUGUUUUAAUCAUCUAAGUUGGAAAACUCAUCUUUAUCCUCGCAUAUUCCUUAUUUCACAGAAAUUAAUUAUGACAUAACUAUAUAAUAAUAACAUUUAAUUUUUCAUUUUUAAACGUAAAACUCAAUGCCCAACACAUAACUUUCUUAAUUAUAUAUAUAAAAUAAAUAGUAAAAUCUAAAUAUUUUAUAAAAGUAGGUUAAGAAUUAAAGUUCAAGACUUCGUGUCACUCUAUAUUUUAUUUGAUUAGUAACUACGUACGUACACAUGUAAUCACGAGACAAACAUACGCAACGUGUAAAAUAAAAUAAAAGUAUUACUUUCUUGCACAACCACUCACCAGAAGACAUAUGGAAGAGAGCAUUCUUUGCUUCAAGGCCCAUUAGUCAGUUGCCACGUUAAAGUCGGACAUACGUGGAGCGGCUCAUGCUUAUCUUUCAUUUUUAAACAGUAAAAUCCAGUAUUUAACAUUUAAUCUCUUUAGCUAUAUAAGAAAAAAAAAAUAAGUAUUUUUCCUUUAAUUAUCAGCUACACAUAUAAUCGGGAACAUUGAAAAAAAGUAAUGAUAAUUCUGGAAUGACUAUUAUUUAGCGGACGACGUGUGGAAGAGAGGCUUCGCAUCAAGUACAAUUAAUCGGUUGUCACAUUAAUAUAUUUGUUUACUCACGGUGCUUUUAAAAAAAAAUUAAAAAAAUAAUUGUUUUAAAUUAAUUUUUAAUUAUUUUAAUAUACUAAUAUUAAAAAUAAAAUUUAAAAACAAUCACUAUGAAUCCGUGGUGGACUCGUACUUAUCCUCUAUGUGCAAAAAGCCAUUAUACCUACAUAUAUAGAGCACGUGCUUGCAUAAAUAAGACGUCGACUUAUCAAGCCACCAACCUCUUUAGUCCGACAGUUCACACCCAGCAAACCAUCUUUAUGUCACCUCCAAAAUAAUAAUAAAAAAAAAAACAUCUUACUUUAUCGUAGGAAAAGCUAUACGGAUAUUUAUUUUCUUUUCCUGAUUAAAAAGAAAAUUGUAUCUUUUUUCCCCAAAAUACCCUUUGUUUUAAAAUCAUAAAUUUCCAACGUAAGUCAUGUGCUUUAAUUUAUAAUUUCCAGGGUCAUUAUCUAAAAACAGGGGAAUUGCUUCAGCUUUCAAUUGAUAAGUUGUAAACUUCAGCGUGCGGUCUUCGGAACGCCAGUUGUAAACACUGCGCGUGGUAGAAAGAAUGUGCUUGAUGAGGCAUUAGCAACUCACUCGGUGUUAGUUGCUACUAGUUUUAUUCCUCCUUAAUGCAAAUCCAUUUCAUUUCCAACAACCUUCACUUGUUGAUUACAUCCAUAAAUGAAAGCAAAUUAAAUUUAAAAAUUCGUUUGAAUGUAAUUAACUCAAAAUAUAUAUUUGUAUUAUAUAGAUAUAUUUAUUAAAAAUUUAAAUUUUUUUAAUACAUUAUUAUUAUUAUUAUUAUUAUUAUUAUUCCAUAGCUUGCUACCAUAGCUUGCUAGUUUUGACAUGCACACACAAUCUGCUUCGUUUAAUAAAACACUUAAAUGUAAUUUGUACCUUACUUUUAAUUAGAAUUUGAUCGAAUUAUUUAAGAUAGUUGUGCCGAUGAUUUUUUAUAAUUCAAUAGUAUUCUUGCUCAUGUACGAGGGAUGAAAUCAACGAUCGAGUAUCGUUAUUGCUAAAUCAUAUAAAUCACAACUCUACGAGCAUAUUUAAGUGAUAUUAUAAAUUAAGAACCUUGUAGCCUGUAGGUAAUAAUCUGUCAUUCAAGAAUCCAGAUAAAAUUCAAGGUAGAAGUUUCAACACUCGUCGAUUUCAGCAGCAGUUGUUUCAUAUAUCCAGAUAAACAUAUAUAUGCCAGUAGUUUCCACUCUCAUUUUCUCUGUUCCUUAAUCUGAUUGACUAAGGACAAAUAGAACUGUCUGCCAUAAUAUUUUGCAGCUCUCGCAGGCUUCCAUGAUAGGGACAUGGAACUAGCAGUGCAGCCGUGCGUAAUUAACAUAGGUCAGGUCUACAGCUCGUGUUCUCAUCAUCUGCCCACUUGUUCUUAACAUGAAGCUAGGGUACCCCCGCAACCCCCAAAAACGCAGGAGGACUAGGCAAGUUGCUUUAGCAUGACAAAUCAAAUAAAUAAAAUCAAGAACCAUCCAUCGUACUAUAGGUAGCAUAUAUUUCAAAGUUUACUGUUAAACACUAGAAAUAUUGUUUUAUGUUCUUUAAUGAAAUUGGAUAUUGGAUACCAGAUACUUGAUUUAAUUAUUCAAUUAGUGCGGUGGGAGUGAGCUUUUCAGAUCACAUGAAUGUUUCCUUAAACUGGUGAUUUUCCGAUAAUCCACGGAGAGAGGGAUGGAUCACACCCGGACUUCGAUCCUACUCUCGCCCUCCAUGAUCACCAACCAAGAAACAGCAUUCGUGAUAGCACCCGUGGCAGCUUGAAGAAGAAAAUAAAACAGGGAUUCGGUGGUCUUGGAAUUCAAUAUUUUUUAGAAACUUUUCGUGUUAAAGAUUCAAAAGCAGUGAAGGGCAGGCCUGAGAAAUGAAAAGACAACGGACUGUCUUAAAAAUAUAACUGAUGGGGUCACGCUGUAAGUGGGUUUUGUUAAAUACAAAGCACACGAAAGGAGAAA
rnacentral:lncRNA from 1 species